GCCUGGCCUGGAUACAGCACAUCUACCCUUGGCAUGAACACGGACCCAAGGAUUGUGACGGAUUUCAACGUGUUCCGUAAGGAAGUCCUGGACCGCAUCCACCAAGGAGAGGCCAAAUGGAAGGAAAGCUGGACUACAGAACUGGAUGGUGUUAAGCGAGAGAUCGGCCUUCUGAAGGAGGAUGGAGAGAGACACAGGC